GACGAACGCUGGCGGCGCGCUUAACACAUGCAAGUCGAACGGAAAGGCCUGCUUUCCCUUGUGGAUUGCGGGUACUCGAGUGGCGAACGGGUGAGUAACACGUGAGUGAUCUGCCCCCAACUUGGGUAUAAGCCUGGGAAACUGGGUCUAAUUCCCGAUAGGACUGCAGGGUGGUGCCUGUGGUGGAAAACGAUUUUCUAGUGGUUGGGGAUGAGCUCGCGGCCUAUCAGCUUGUUGGUGGGGUAAUGGCCUACCAAGGCGGCGACGGGUAGCCGGCCUGAGAGGGUGGACGGCCACAUUGGGACUGAGAUACGGCCCAGACUGCUACGGGAGGCAGCAGUGGGGAAUAUUGGACAAUGGGCGGAAGCCUGAUGCAGCGAGGCCGCGUGGGGGAUGACGGCCUUCGGGUUGUAAACUCCUUUCGACCGCGAGGAAGCCACCUGGUUGGAAGGGUGGUGACGGUAGUGGUAGAAGAAGCACCGGCUAACUACGUG
rnacentral:rRNA from 1 species